rnacentral:rRNA from 1 species
UACGUAGGGUGCGAGCGUUAAUCGGAAUUACUGGGCGUAAAGCGUGCGCAGGCGGCUUCGCAAGUCAGGCGUGAAAUCCCCGGGCUUAACCUGGGAAUUGCGCUUGAGACUGGCACGCUCGAGUUCGGGAGAGGAUGGUGGAAUUCCCAGUGUAGAGGUGAAAUUCGUAGAUAUUGGGAAGAACACCGAUGGCGAAGGCAGCCAUCUGGACCGACACUGACGCUGAGGCGCGAAAGCGUGGGGAGCAAACAGG